CUGAUAGCUCAGUCGGUAGAGCAAAGGAUUGAAAAUCCUUGUGUCGGUGGUUCGAUUCCACCUCAG
rnacentral:tRNA from 1 species